GUGAGUGUGGUGUAUGGUACACAGCUGCCUUUCAUGUGUCGUUUCCAGUUGGGAGAUUGUAGGCAGCAGGACCGGGUUCGAUUCCCGGCACCCAUG